CUCCGCCGCGUGGUUUCCCUGCCCUUUCUCGGAGGACUUAGCGUGUCCCGGUCGGGGGAGUUCCCAAGAGGCUUGUUAAAAUCUUGCACUGGAGAGACCAGUCUGUUUUGGGAUCUUCUUCAAUAAAAAAGCAGAAGGAAGAGAAAGGCAUUCGGAAGGGCAGGAGCUCUACAAACACAAAACAAAAUGACAGCUCAUGUCCUUGGAGGUGGCAAGGGACCACAGCUGCAGGUGGGCAGGAGCACAGGACAUGCAGAUACGAGCACAAGAUCUUAUGACUGAAAAAAAUCAUGCUGAUGUGCAUGGGGUUGCUGCUGCAUGGACAUGUACUCCUGCACGCGCAGCCGUAGCCAAACGCUGCUCCUGCAAAGGAGUGCAGCUCCCUGCCUGGCAUUUCACGGGACGCCUGUUGGUACACAGGAGGGAGCGCGCAGCUCAGUGGAAAUUCCCCAAAGGAGUCAGCGCCCGGCCUUGAGAGAUGAAUGAAUCUUCCUGGAAGCGGCCUGGAGCCGGACGCCGCAAUCUCAGCGCAGUGCUGCCGCCGGAGCAAGCCGCCCGUGUUUCCGUCGGAGCUGUUGCAGAGGAUAAGCUGGAGGAAAGAGGUUAACAGCCAGCACCGAGGGAAGUGGGCUGAGAUGGCAGCUGCCCCCCUCUGCUCUGCGCCCUCAGCCUGCUGUCUGCGUCAUCCGCGGCGUGUUUUUCAGGCUGCCCUGUCCUCAUUUGAAUCGGCCCUGCCUGCCCGGCCUCGUAAUCCGCCACUAAGUGGGACUGCCGAUGAAUGCUGUGAUAAAUUUAGAAAGAAAUCUUUGUGUGGGUCACAAAAAAAAGCAGCACGGAUUGUAGAAUUUGAGAAGAAACAGAACAGUGCAACUCAGUUUGAGUCCUUUGCCAUUUAUGUUUUAUGCAUUUGGCCUGUGAAACAAGAUUUAAUGCUCAGUUUCUUACAGGAAAAGGCAAGAAGGAUCCGCAGGGAUUUUAGGUGGUGCUUACUCCUCUGAUGUUUAUAACCCAUGGAUUUCUUAAUAUAAAACCAGCCAGUUUUAACAAAUAUUAGCAGAAAAGGUUGUAAGGAAAGAGAGAUCUUUGUCUCUUACUUGCUUAAUUAACCAGCUCUCUGCAGCAGGAACUGGGCCCGAGCAGAACGUUCCAGGCGAUGUGACAUUUCAGCCGGAGCCUCUUAAAGAGCAAGUUUACCUUUACCUAACGUGAGUUUAUAUACAGAAGUGCGGAUGGAAGUUUUGCUUAAUUCCUCUUUCACGAUCUUCGGACUCCUGCCUGCCACAAUAGCGUUGUUCCCUAGGAAUUUGCUUCUGUUAUUGUUUUAAAUUGUUUUUAAACAAAAAAUAGUGGUGCAAAGCCUCUCAUGAAAUCAUGAAUCCAACACCAGUUUCCAUACUGAAAGUCUGAAUAUUGUUCAAAACCAUUUGCCCAUAAAUUAUAUCAUACUAGUGUAAAAAAGGAAAUGAACUUUCUGAAUGAUUUUCCUUUAAUAAGCUAUUAAGAAUGUGUAUUGCUAAUUAAACUAUUAAUUAGACGUCUUAUCAUUUCUCAACACGUUAGCAUGUUGCCAAAGCAGCAGUAAGCCUUUGGGGCAAGCAGAAGAUAAGAGAAGAAGGAAGAUGCAAACAAGAAGAUUAAAAAAAAAUUCACAAGUAUAACAACCAGCUAUAGCAAAUAAAUAAGCAAGGGUAAUGUAUUGUCAUUUACAGGGCUAAAAAUAGCCUGAAGGUAAAUUCACUAGGUAAAAGCCCUUAGGGCAGCUAAUACAUCUUAUGCAAUACAAAAGACACAUACUAUGAACCUUUUCAAACCUUUUUUUUUUUCUGCAGUUAGAGUGAGAAGCCAGAACUAGUCUCCUUUUUUUCCCAACAAUACAGUUUUCUUUUAGAAAAAGAACAGAAAACUGUUAUUUUUUCUUUCUGAGAAAAAAACAUGUAAGAUUUUCAAUAGGAAAAUCUUAAACACAUAUAAUUUCCUCAUCUUAUUCCACACCUUUCUCCCAUGAAAACAACCCUCUCCCCAGAAGCAGAGUGCCAGACUUACUUACCCAGUCUUGCCUCAUCUGUUUUCUCCUGCUAAAAGGACUGUCAGAAACCUUCAAAACCCUGCAGCAAUCUGCACACUUUUGCUGUACCUGAGGAGGCAAACGAACUGGCUUCCUUUUGCCUUUGUGGGACAUCUUCAAGAAAUUUCCCUGGAGGGAGAAGUUACUAAAAUAGAGCUGGAUGCAGACCCCAGGGAAUCCCUAACUGAGCUUACGGGAACGACGUGGGCUUGCAGCAGUGAAACACGGGAGCAGAAAGCAGCAGGACUUCGCUGCCUGUUUUGAUGAGGGAACGGGUCCAAGUGGCCCGGCAGCAGUCAUUGCCAUCUGCAGCUGGGCACCACUCCGGUGAUCCUCCUCACCGCAGCCGUGACCGGCGACGUGGCCCCGUGCACGGGCUCGGAGCCGCAUCCAGCACCCAGAGCUGCGGUAGUGGCUGCGAGCGAGGGCUUCUCUUCCUAGACCACCACCAUGUGUGUCACCAAGCAAUACCAGCAGAUAAAGACCUCUGAAGGAAGGAAGAGGGGCUUCACAGGCAUCUCUAUACCAAUCCUGGAGCGACAUUUUCAUCUACAACCUCUGUACAUCAUGGAGAAUCCAAGGAAACGUCAAAAUAAAGGUCUGGGACAAGAUCAGAGUCUCUGCUCCACCACCCCAGGCAACACCAGUUCCUUCAUCUGAGCUCUGUCUACCGUUCCUAACAUUUUGUCUGUGGCGGAGAUAAAUACAUGGAGACAAAUUGCUAGCUGCAACCUAACGUGGACAAGGCUUAUUUGGGUACUGCAGAUGACCUUGUCUUUCCCCUCAGUCAGGAGAGCUGGGCAUUCCCACUAGGCAGAGAGUGCCUUGAAAACCUUUCCCAAAUGACAGACUUGGAAAGUCUUUUCCAGAGACCACAUGGAUGACAGAAAGCAGUGAAUUUCCUUUUUCUCCCCGCUCCUCUCCCCUCAGGAUGCUGAGCAGGUUCUAGUUUGUUGAAAUGCUCGGCAUUGAAGGUUCUCCAGCUGAGAAUACUUUAAGUCUUUCAGAACUUUCAUGGAAAUAGUCUCUAUAUUUUUAAUCGUAUUUGGCAUUUGUUCCCUCCUUCACUCUAAAAAAAUAAUGACCUUACUCUCUAUCUUCCUCGAAAGCUGUCCCCCUCCUCUGGAUAGGUAGACAUCUGCUCUGCGGAUAAAGAAUGCACAGCGCAUUAUUUAACACUUCCACGUUCUCACUCCUUUUAUUGACUGUUCAUCCCCCCGGCUGCCUUGCUGGGUAAUUACACGCUAGGAAUUCCUCUCCUGGAGCGGCGGGUGAGAAGCAGCAGGAAGCAAGAGGUGUAAACUUGUGGGGGUAUGCUCAGCAAAAUGACUCUCCUGGUAAUAUCUAUUGACCUUGCCAUUUAAUAAAAAGACAAGGGUGCCUCCAGCUUCACUUUGAGGGCAUGGGUUCAGCUGGCUUUCCAGGGGAACUGUGUCAGGGCAGAAGUGAUUGGCUUUUGUUGUCCUUAUUAACCAUGGGCCACGGAAGUGCCUAGGACUCCCAGCCAUGCACCGUAACCAGGUGCCGUGAAAGCACAGAGCAGGUAGUCCCUGCCCAAAGAGCUUGAAAUCUGAAAUGGAAAGAGCAGGUGAAUGUAAGAACACGAGAACGGCUCUAUUUAUCAGCCCAAAGGUCCCUUCACCACUGCUUGUUUUGUUUGAGAGCUUUCAGUCCUGAUUUACACUAAUGAGCGCUCAUACAUGUCUCCCAUCCCUAGAUUUGCAAGAAGAGCGUAUUAAAAUGUUUUUAGAGCCCAGUUCUUCAGCAUUUGUCUUUGACAGUUUAUCUCAGGAGAAAGAUAAUCUCAUUUACCACUGUUACUGCAAAUCAAAACACCAGCAAAUUAAAUGGAUUUGAAGGCUAAGAUUAAAGACAGAAUUAAACCACCUGUGAAGUGCCUGUAAUGCAAAUAGUUGUAAAUAUACUUUUUUUUUUCCUGAGGAUGGAAAAGCUCUGAACAAAUGUUCUUCCCUUUACUUGGAAGGCAAAGACGGAAAUAUCAAAUCACUGCAGGCGGAUUAUGAACACAGACAUAAUAUUGUGCCUGUUUCUUUCUCAGUGGUAAGAAAAGGAGAAAAAAGAAAAUGUGUUUGAACAUUACCCUUAAUCAACUAGGGGAAACAUCUUUAUGGCCAGUUGAUGAUGAAUGAGCUGUUGGUUGACUCAAAAUUUUAGUACAGCACCCUGUGAAUUCAGCUGGACUGGCAAAAGGGAGUUUGGUGAGGAGACCCUAGAUCCAAUUUGAGUCUCUCCAGCCCAGGCACAGGAUGGCCCCUUGCUCCAUCCUCACUGCUGUGGUAGUUUGAUAUUUCUUCUGCUGGCAGUCACCUGAAGUUUAUCAAAAUACGUUAUCAAAAACCUGCCAUUUAUACAUUCUUUUUGCUUGGAUUAAAAAGCUCUCAUGGUCUUACAGCAGAUGGUACAGCAAAUAUUGUAGAACUCCCACACAAAUUUUGGAGAAUAAAGCAUUUAACAAGCAGAUGGAAAGUGGAUAGAUGAAAACUUCAUUUUAGAUGUUCACUAUUCCUAGAAUAUGAGCUUUGAAGCCCACUGUAUGCAUUACUUUUUUCAAAAGUUUAUUAUGGACAAUGCCUUGGCUAAAUUGUUUGCACCCUGAGAUGCAGCAGUGUAUACAGUAUAGCUUGGUAUUGCUUCUGACAGGGAGCCACUGCCGUUACAUAAAUACAAAUUUGACUCUAGAGCAAAGUAGUAUAUGUUUUAACAGCACACAACCAGCAGAUAGCAGCAUUGUUUUGUGUGUGUGUGUGUGUGUGUGUGUGUGUGUGUGUGUGUAUGUAUAUAUAUAUAUCCCAGACUAUUUCUACUAUUUGUGGUUUCAAAGUCGUGCAAAAAUCUUGGUGAAUUUAAAUUUAAGGACAUGAUUCCAGUCCAUUUCUGUGCACAGCAGGGGAGAUGGGGAUGCCAUGCAGUAAAUGUUCCCAAUCGGCUGGGCUGUGAUGUGUGCUGAAGAUUUAGACUCAUACCUAUUAUAAUUAAGAGAAAUAGUAUUUCUGUAUCCUCUGAACUAAAUUGCAUUGAACGAAAGACUGUAUAUCCGUAGGGGGUAAACAUUUUAAAAUGAGUUUUGUGGGAAAAAGAAAUGAAAUUUUUCAUGACCGGUUUAGUGGCUUCAUCACGAAA